rnacentral:lncRNA from 1 species
CACUACAUAAUCAUUCAUUUUCUUUACAAUUAUCCAUCUAAAGCUAUCACAGUUCUUCAAUCAAAGUAUAUAUCUACAUAUAUAGAGAGAGUACACUUCAUAAUUUCGUCCCUUGUCUUCCGUAAACGUAGCACAGAAAUUUGAUACCCAGUAUUGAAAGACAGGUCGUAGAAGCAAUCUUCCUGCACAUAUUUAAAAAUAAUAGCAAGUCAGAAAAAUGAAACAAAUGGGUCACCAGAGGCACUUGAUGCCAAAAUCAAUACACAAAGACAACAAAGUUGUGUUAUUUUCUUACUAAUCAAGGGACAUGGAAGAAGAUAAUACCAUUUUUAUUGACUACCAAAUUAAUAUCUAAAUCAAAUAUCCUGAAGAAGACAAGCAUGUGCUUCGUGAACCUCGUCCUGGUGGGUAUACAUUAACACACGGAUCAAGAUAAUAAUUGGUGCUCAUAAAUAAUGCUACAAGUGAACAGACAUUUUACAGGCUUUAUAAUGAUGACAGUAUAACUUGAUAAAUAUGUUCGUGCGUGUAGCAAAAGUCAGAAACAUAGUGUUUUACUAUAACUUUUAACUAAAAAGUUAAAGCAGAUGUUUGCAGUUUUAACUAUCAAGUGAGGAAAAAAGAAACGAUACUUGUAUAGGCCAAGACAAGGCACUACUAAUGAGGUACAUAUGUGACUUUCACUUUGUGCUUUCCUCCACCAAUUACUUAACUGACCCCAUUUGUCUCAUCUCAAAUUACAAUCAGCUACACUUUGCAUGUUAUGCCAAACAUACAAACAAAAACCAAAUAGAUAGACCCAAAACAUCACGUAAUUUAACUUGAUUCACUGGAAAUAUGAGCU